AAGGGAGACCUAAUUUGGGUAUGGGAUGAAAAAAAAGUAGUCCCAACCAAGAAUCAAUCCCAAAAGGUCGGAGCGAGGCGAAAUUGGCUUUCAAACUAGGUUCUGGGUUCACAGAAGACCUGAAUCAGGAACAAGGGCUAUUAGCUCAGGUGGUUAGAGCGCACCCCUGAUAAGGGUGAGGUCCCUGGUUCGAGUCCAGGAUGGCCCACCUGCACAGGUGGUAAAAACAAGAGAAGCGAGGAAUCAGCACCUUAUCUUACUUACAUAGUAAGAGGGAAUGCUGGCUCUGAGUAAAGAGUCCAGAGGAACCUUGAAAACUGCAUAGAGCUAGGUGAAAAAGCCAAAAAAGAAGACCGCAAGGUCAAGCUAAUAAGGGCUAACGGU
rnacentral:tRNA from 1 species